UUUCCCUCAGGAUAGCUGGCACUCGCUUGAGCGAGUCUCAUCUGGUAAAGCGAAUGAUUAGAGGCCUUGGGGCCGAAACGACCUCAACCUAUUCUCAAACUUUAAAUGGGUGAGAUCUCUGGCUUGCUUGAACGUUAUGAAGCCACGAGAGAUCAUUGAUCAUGGAUCAGAGUGCCAAGUGGGCCAAUUUUGGUAAGCAGAACUGGCGCUGUGGGA
rnacentral:rRNA from 2 species